rnacentral:lncRNA from 1 species
CACGUGCAAAAUUGAACUACGUUUGCACUGCCAUUUGAUUUUGUGUCCGAGCGAUCGAGUCCGAGCCCCAGUUCUAUAUGCCCAUCCCGCAACCCGCUAGGGCUUUGUUUCUCUUCCCAUCGGACCUCCCCUUUCCAGUGAAGAGGGAGAAGGUGGAGAGGAGAAGGGCUAGAGUUCCCUUGAGGCUUGCCAGCUCGGGGCGCAGGGGCAAAUGAGGGG